UAGCCAUGUUACGGGCAACAGCGUAAUAAGUCUUUGAAUCGCUCCCAUGCUUCAUAAAGUUGCUCUGAAUCAAAUUGUCUGAACCAAUCUAACUCCUCAACUGUGCAA